GUGCCAGCAGCCGCGGUAAUACGUAGGAGACGAGCGUUGUCCGGAGUUACUGGGCGUAAAGGGUGCGCAGGUGGCCGUGCGCGUGGGGGGUGAAAUCGCCUGGCUUAACUGGGCGGGGGCCUUCCAGACGGCGUGGCUUUGAGGAGCGGAGGGGGACGUGGAAUUCCGGGUGGAGCGGUGAAAUGCGUAGAGAUCCGGAGGAACACCGACGGCGCAGGCAGCGUCCUGGCCGCUUUCCUGACACUGAGGCACGAAAGCUGGGGGAGCAAACAGGAUUAGAUACCCGCGUAGUCC
rnacentral:rRNA from 1 species